GAUGAACGCUGGCGGCGUGCCUAAUACAUGCAAGUCGAGCGAACAGACGCUGAGCUUGCUCCUUUGUCGAUAGCGGCGGACGGGUGUGUCACACGUGGAUAACCUACUUAUAAGACUGGUAUAAUUUCGGGAAACCGGAUCUAAUACCGGAUAAUCUAUUGAACCGCAUGGUUCAAUAGUGAAAUACGGUUUUGCUGUCACUUAUAGAUGGAUCCCCGCUUCAUUAGCUAGUUGGUAAGUUAACGGCUUACCAAGGCGACGAUGCGUAGCCGACCUGAGAGGGGGAUCGGCCACACUGGAACUGGGACACGGUCCAGACUCCUACGGGAGGCAGCAGUAGGGAAUCUUCCGCAAUGGGCGAAAGCCUGACGGAGCAACGCCACGUGAGUGAUGAAAGUCUUCGGAUCGUAAAGCUCUGUUAUUAGGGAAGAACAGAUGUGUAAGUAACUGUGCACGUCUUGACGGUACCUAGUCAGAAAGCCACGGCUAACUACGUG
rnacentral:rRNA from 1 species